AUGACGACCACGGCGUACGUCCCGCCGUCGCUCUCCGCCUCGAGCGUGGCCAUCGUGCUGGCCACCGGGUCUCACGUGCUAAGGAUCGACUACUUCUCGCAGGCGGCUGCGAUGCUCGCCAACGGCGAGUGUCUCAAGUCGCCCAAGUUCCAGGCGGGAGGGCACACCUGGCGUAUCCGCUGCUACCCCAACGGAUCGGCGCAAAAGUACGACGGCUACGUCUCCCUCGUGCUGGAGCUCGCCAGCCACGUCGUCAAGGACGUCCGCGCUGAGUUCCGGUUCACCCUGGUCCCGCUCCGGCGACAGGGCUGGCCGGCGCCGGCGCCGUACGAGCACGCCGACGUGGUCACGUUCGAGGAGAAGGGCCGGCAGUUCGGCUUUAAGAACUUCGUCAGCAGGGAUUGGCUGGAGAAGUCGGAGAAGCUACUCGACGGCGCCCUCGCCGUGAGGUGCGACGUGACCGUCCUGACCAAGCAGCCGGCGCCGGUGCCUGUCGUCGAGGAGCAAGAGCUGGAGCGGCUGGGGCUGGUGUGCGCCUGCAAGGACGACGCGUGCAAGCGCAUCCACGCGGGUACCGUGGAGGCCGCCAUGGCCUUAGGGACGAUGCCCCGUCGAUGCCGCCGGGUGAAGGAGGCGUGUCUCAGGCUCCUCGGGCGUCUUCGUGUGGAAUAA
rnacentral:rRNA from 1 species